AGCUUACCAUCUGCGUCCUCCGUGCAGGAAAGUAUAACAUCUGAUGCCGCCCUGCCAGGGAGUACACCAUCUGCAUCUUCCGAGGAGAGUACAAUGUCUGAUGCCGCCCUGCCGGAGAGUACACCAUCUGCGUCCUCCGAGCUGGAGAGAUUGUUUAGGUUAAUACCUGAUGCCACCCUGCCGGAGAGG